ensembl:lncRNA
CUUGAGGCAGAGCUGUCUCAGAGCCCUGCCAUGGCAGCUGGCUGGCUGCCGACGGAGGGGCAGCAGGUUAACAGCGAUGAGACAGCCCUUCAUCCCUCCCUCCUUGUGGCUUUCCCUGCAUGUUUGUCUUUGUAUAUAUUGGCAAUCUCCUGGAGCAGUGACUCUCCUGACUGGUGGCUUCCUGAAAUUAUUGCUGUUCAGCUGCAGAGCAGAGAUAACAUGGAUUCCCUCGAUCUCAGCCAUUCAUCUGCAUGUGUUCUGCAAAGAAGUCAAGGGAGAAGCUGUUCACUUCAAGCUCAUAUCCAGUGCUAUGUCAUCAAAAGCUCUGAUAUCUGCAAGGAUCAGUGAUGUCAGAGUGCAGCUGAGCUGAGCUUGGUUCCAGAAAGGGAUUCUGAUUACUCCUGCAAAGAACCUGUACUCCAUCUACUAUGGCAAGAUGAUGAAGAAACAGACUCACCAGCAUAUUU